GCUGAUGUGAAAAACUUGAACUCACCGUCUGAAAAGAGCUCAUGUUUGUUACUCUUUGACAGGUCAGAAGAACCCAGAAUAAAUUUCAAAGAAUCAGGAGCAGCAGCGGGAUCAGUAGUAUCUACUACCAGCUCAAUGGGGGUCGCAAUCAAUUUCUGGACCAUCUUCUCCCUGGUCAACCCUACUUCUUACUUCGGAGCAGCAUUACGAUGGAGUGGACGAUAGUCAUCAGUGAGUCUGAUCUGUUUACCUCAUAUU
rnacentral:lncRNA from 1 species